AUUAGUGUUCCAACGCCGGUUCUCGUGCGAUCCCCUUAAGUUAAGCAACAUUGAGUCUGCUCAGUAUUGAGAUGAGUGACCGCUUGGAAAUACCGGGGACUGUAAU